rnacentral:sRNA from 1 species
CUUUGCUGGCGCUGGUUCCUCAUCCGUCUCAUGCUCUCUGGGGCCCUGGCCUUCGCUGGCGCUGGCACACGGCGCAGCAGGAGACCAACAAGACUAUCGCAGCCAGCGCCAGCUCCGUGAAGCAGAUGGCCGAGCUGCUGCGCAGCUCCUGCCCGUGCAGCAGGAGCGUCCUCAGCUGGACCGGCUGAAAACCCAGCUCUCAGAUGCCAUUCAGUGCUAUGGAGUGGUGCAGAAGAAAAUUGCAGAAAAGUCCAGAGCGCUGCUUCCCAUGGCGCAGAGGGGCAGUAAACAGAGUCCCCGGGCCCCGUCUGCCGAGCUGGCUGAUGAUGAGAGGGUCUUUAAUGGGAGUGACAACACGUGGCAGGGCCAGGAGCAGGCGCUGCUCCCGGACAUCACUGAGGAGGACCUGGAGGCCAUCCGGCUGAGGGAGGAGGCCAUCCUGCAGAUGGAGGUGAGGCUGGCGUGGGCAAGGGUGCUCACUCUCCACGCUUCACAUGAGGCCAGGGACCAGGGGAGCCCAGGUGCCAGCCUUGCUGCACCAUUGCUUGCCCUUGGCCUGGAGGGGCUGGAACUAGGCCUCUGUGGCCUUGCCCUUUCUAACCACCUCUCUCUGGCCAUCUGGUCCAAUAAGGGAGAGACAGGGGUCUGGGAGCCCCAUCCCCAUCCCCUCCUUCCUGGGUUUCCCUAAUAGGGCACAGCCCUCUGGCCAGGAGCUGGGGUCUAUGCUGGGGUAGCCUCUCAGUCACCAUGGCCAUUUCAUUUGCUGUGUGGUUAGACUUCCAGGAGGCUGUUUAGCUCUAAUGAAGAUGAUUUGGUGCUUAA